GGGCUUAUAGUUCAGUUGGUAGAACAUGCCGCUCAUAACGGUACAGUCGUAGGUUCGAAUCCUGCUAAGCCUA
rnacentral:tRNA from 1 species